UUUACGUUGAAACGAAUUCGAAUUACGAAAACGCGUUCGAUUGAAUUUGGAUAAUCAAUCCUAACUAUUUUUGGAUUCAAACAACAUCCAUUCCGAUCCUAGCCCAAGUUUGCAAAGCCCAAUAAAGAAACCCAAACAAAAUUACCCAUACCUCCACUCUCCUUCACUUUCACGUAAAAACAAAAAGAAACAAAACCCUCCUUCUCUCCUACAGCAACCACGUGAACCAUCAAACCCUCAAGCCUUGCUGCCGUCCUCGCCGCCGCCGCCACCGCCGGCGUUUCCCCUCCGUCGUCCGCCUGUACCGCCGCCACACACAACCACCGCGAGUUUUCCUCGCCACCAGCAGCCGCCGCGAACCUUACCAUUGCUGGACCGCCUACUUGCAGGCCAUCGCACGACCCAGCCACGUCGACGACAACCAUCAACCCAGCCGCUGCCGCGCCGCUGUGCCCCGGACCGUCGGCCGCCCACUCUUCCUCUUCUUUUGUCUCUAAGGAUCAAUAAGCAUUGUCCAUCUGCAGGUUUGAAGAUGUUGCAUCAUUGGGAUCGGGAAUAGAGAGCUUGUAUUUAGUUUUGGUUUGCUAAGUUAACUUGGGUUUGUUAAUUGGGACUUUAAACUUGUCGUACUAUUUAUAUUUCCUUAUUUUCGUUGGAUGAUUUUUGGGAGUAAACCUGUAAUCGAUUAUUUAUAAACCUAAAGUUAGUUUUAUGUUUUCCGCUGCAAAAUUCUGAAUAAGCCGUUACGUUUUCACACGGGCGAUAAUGCCUUGAUAAUUCUCUACGUUUUAUAUUAAAAUGUUGUUUUAGAAAAGAGAGAAUUGUCGGGGUGUUACAGUAGAUUAUUAGAAUAUAUUUGUAUCGUAUUGUAAACCAUUAGAACAUGGCAAAAAACAUUACAUCAUGGUCAAAAACAGUAAAACAUGUCUUAAUAAC